rnacentral:rRNA from 1 species
AAGCACCGGCUAACUACGUGCCAGCAGCCGCGGUAAUACGUAGGGUGCGAGCGUUAAUCGGAAUUACUGGGCGUAAAGCGAGCGCAGACGGUUUAUUAAGCAAGAUGUGAAAUCCCCGAGCUUAACUUGGGAACUGCGUUUUGAACUGGUAAGCUAGAGUAUGUCAGAGGGGGGUAGAAUUCCACGUGUAGCAGUGAAAUGCGUAGAGAUGUGGAGGAAUACCGAUGGCGAAGGCAGCCCCCUGGGAUAACACUGACGUUCAUGCUCGAAAGCGUGGGUAGCAAACAGGAUUAGAUACCCUGGUAGUCCACGCCCUAAACGAUGUCAAUUAGCUGUUGGGCAACUUGAUUGCUUAGUAGCGUAGCUAACGCGUGAAAUUGACCGCCUGGGGAGUACGGUCGCAAGAUUAAAACUCAAAGGAAUUGACGGGGACCCGCACAAGCGGUGGAUGAUGUGGAUUAAUUCGAUGCAACGCGAAAAACCUUACCUACGCUUGACAUGUCCGGAACCCUGAAGAGAUUUGGGGGUGCUCGAAAGAGAGCCGGAACACAGGUGCUGCAUGGCUGUCGUCAGCUCGUGUCGUGAGAUGUUGGGUUAAGUCCCGCAACGAGCGCAACCCUUGUCAUUAGUUGCCAUCAUUCAGUUGGGCACUCUAAUGAGACUGCCGGUGACAAACCGGAGGAAGGUGGGGAUGACGUCAAGUCCUCAUGGCCCUUAUGACCAGGGCUUCACACGUCAUACAAUGGUCGGUACAGAGGGUAGCCAAGCCGCGAGGUGGAGCCAAUCCCAGAAAACCGAUCGUAGUCCGGAUUGCACUCUGCAACUCGAGUGCAUGAAGUCGGAAUCGCUAGUAAUCGCAGGUCAGCAUACUGCGGUGAAUACGUUCCCGGGUCUUGUACACACCGCCCGUCACACCAUGGGAGUGGGGGAUACCAGAAGUAGGUAGGCUAACCGCAAGGAGGCCGCUUACCACGGUAUGCUUCAUGACUGGGGUGAAGUCGUAACAAGGUAGCCGUAGGGGAACCUGCGGCUG